rnacentral:rRNA from 1 species
UACAGAGGGGGCAAGCGUUGUUCGGAAUUACUGGGCGUAAAGCGCGCGUAGGCGGCUUUGCAAGUCGGGUGUGAAAUCCCCAGGCUUAACCUGGGAACUGCAUUCGAGACUGCAUUGCUAGAGUAUGGGAGAGGGAAGUGGAAUUUCCGGUGUAGCGGUGAAAUGCGUAGAUAUCGGAAGGAACAUCAGUGGCGAAAGCGACUUCCUGGACCAAUACUGACGCUCAUGUGCGAAAGCGUGGGGAGCAAACAGG